CUUCUGCCACCUCCAUCCAGGUGCCUGGGCACGGCGCUGCAGCAUGGGAGGAGGAAGGUGGUGGAGGAAGAUUCCUCGGGGCUCCUGCCAGCUCAGC